rnacentral:rRNA from 1 species
GCUAGCAUAUCAAUAAGCGGAGGAAAUCAGUGARACCAACAGGGAUUGCCUUAGUAACGGCGAGUGAAGCGGCAACAGCUCAAAUUUGAAAGCUGGCCCUUUUAGGGUCCGCAUUGUAAUUUGUAGAGGAUGAUUCGGCGAGGGCUCCUGCCUAAGUCCCCUGGAACGGGGCGUCAUAGAGGGUGAGAAUCCCGUAUGCGGUAGGUUGCCUUAGCCAUGUGAAUCUCCUUCGACGAGUCGAGUUGUUUGGGAAUGCAGCUCUAAAUGGGAGGUAAAUUUCUUCUAAAGCUAAAUACCGGCCAGAGACCGAUAGCGCACAAGUAGAGUGAUCGAAAGAUGAAAAGCACUUUGGAAAGAGAGUUAAAAAGUACGUGAAAUUGUUGAAAGGGAAGCGCUUGCAACCAGACUUGUCCGCAGUUGCUCAGCCGGUCUCCUGACCGGCGUACUCUUCUGCGGCCAGGCCAGCAUCAGUUCGGGCGGUCGGAUAAAGGCCUCGGGAAUGUGGCUCCUCUCGGGGAGUGUUAUAGCCCGGGGUGCAAUGCGGCCAGCCUGGACUGAGGAACUCGCUUCGGCAAGGAUGCUGGCGUAAUGGUUGUAAGCGGCCCGUCUUGAAACACGGACCAAGGAGUCUAACAUCUAUGCGAGUGUUCGGGUGUCAAACCCGUACGCGUAAUGAAAGUGAACGGAGGUGGGAACCCGCAAGGGUGCACCAUCGGCCGAUCCUGAUGUCUUCGGAUGGAUUUGAGCAAGAGCAUAGCUGUUGGGACCCGAAAGAUGGUGAACUAUGCCUGAAUAGGGUGAAGCCAGAGGAAACUCUGGUGGAGGCUCGCAGCGGUUCUGACGUGCAAAUCGAUCGUCAAAUUUGGGUAUAGGGGCGAAAGACUAAUCGAACCAUCUAGCUMGACUGGGUCCCUGCCGAGCU